rnacentral:rRNA from 1 species
AUUGAACGCUGGCGGAAUGCUUUACACAUGCAAGUCGAACGGCAGCACGGGGCAACCUGGUGGCGAGUGGCGAACGGGUGAGUAAUACAUCGGAACGUGCCCAAUCGUGGGGGAUAACGUAGCGAAAGUUACGCUAAUACCGCAUACGAUCUACGGAUGAAAGCGGGGGAUCGCAAGACCUCGCGCGAUUGGAUGAGCCGACGUCGGAUUAGCUAGUUGGCGGGGUAAAGGCCCACCAAGGCGACGAUCCGUAGCUGGUCUGAGAGGAUGAUCAGCCACACUGGAACUGAGACACGGUCCAGACUCCUACGGGAGGCAGCAGUGGGGAAUAUUGGACAAUGGGCGCAAGCCUGAUCCAGCAAUGCCGCGUGUGUGAAGAAGGCCUUCGGGUGUAAAGCACUUUUAUCAGGAACGAAAAGACGUUGGAUUAAUACUACUGACGUGCUGACGGUACCUGAGGAAUAAGCACCGGCUAACUUCGUGCCAGCACG